GCGGUCAGUGGCUGAUGGCGGGGGCGGCGCCGAUGAAGCGGGUGCUGAGCACCUGGGUGGCGGCGAAGCCGGCGAUCUCCUCGGCGCUGGCCCCG
rnacentral:tRNA from 1 species